rnacentral:rRNA from 1 species
AGCGAACGCUGGCGGCAGGCCUAACACAUGCAAGUCGAACGAUCCUUUCGGGGUUAGUGGCGGACGGGUGAGUAACACGUGGGAACGUGCCUUUAGGUUCGGAACAACUCAGGUAAACUUGUGCUAAUACCGCAUGUGCUCUUCGGGGGAAUGAUUUAUCGCCUUUAUAGCGGCCCGCGUCUGAGUAGCUAGUUGUUUGAGGUAAUGGCUCACCAAGGCGACGAUCAGUAGCUGGUCUGAGAGGAUGAUCAGCCACAUUGGGACUGAGACACGGCGCAAACUCCUACGGGAGGCAGCAGUGGGGAAUCUUGCGCAAUGGGCGAAAGCCUGACGCAGCCAUGCCGCGUGAAUGAUGAAGGUCUUAGGAUUGUAAAAUUCUUUCACCGGGGACGAUAAUGACGGUACCCGGAGAAGAAGCCCCGGCUAACUUCGUG